AGAGUUUGAUCAUGGCUCAGAACGAACACUGGCGGCAUGCCUAACACAUGCAAGUCGAACGAGACCUUCGGGUCUAGUGGCGCACGGGUGCGUAACGCGUGGGAAUCUGCCCUUGGGUUCGGGAUAACAGUUGGAAACGACUGCUAAUACCGGAUGAUGACUUCGGUCCAAAGAUUUAUCGCCCAGGGAUGAGCCCGCGUAGGAUUAGCUAGUUGGUGGGGUAAAGGCUCACCAAGGCGACGAUCCUUAGCUGGUCUGAGAGGAUGAUCAGCCACACUGGGACUGAGACACGGCCCAGACUCCUACGGGAGGCAGCAGUGGGGAAUAUUGGACAAUGGGCGAAAGCCUGAUCCAGCGAUGCCGCGUGAGUGAUGAAGGCCUUAGGGUUGUAAAGCUCUUUUACCCGGGAUGAUAAUGACAGUACCGGGAGAAUAAGCCCCGGCUAACUCCGUGCUAGCCGCCGCGGUAAUAC
rnacentral:rRNA from 1 species